CAAGGAGUCUAACAUGUGCGCGAGUCACUGGGUCAUACGAAACCCACAGGCACAAUGAAAGUGAAGGCACCGCCUUGUGCGUGCCGAGGGAAGAUGGGGCCUCCUGUGGGGCUCCGCAUUCCCGGGGCGUCUCGUUCUCAUAGCGAGUUGAGGCGCGGCCAGAGCGUACACGUUGGGACCCGAAAGAUGGUGAACUAUGCCUGGCCAGGACGAAGUCAGGGGAAACCCUGAUGGAGGUCCGUAGCGAUUCUGACGUGCAAAUCGAUCGUCGGAGCUGGGUAUAGGGGCGAAAGACUAAUCGAACCAUCUAGUAGCUGGUUCCCUCCGAAGUUUCCCUCAGGAUAGCUGGUGCUCGACCGAGUCUCAUCCGGUCAAGCGAAUGAUUAGAGGCCUUGGGGCCGAAACGACCUCAACCUAUUCUCAAACUUUAAAUGGGUGAGAUCUCCGGCUUGCUUAAAGAACUGAAGCCGCGAGAGAGAAAGAAGGAUCGGAGUGCCAAGUGGGCCACUUUUGGUAA
rnacentral:rRNA from 1 species